AAAAUCAAGUGUGGCAGAAAACAGCGACAGAGGGAAAGACAACUGCAAAACAACAUUCGUAAAGCUCUCAUGGCUCCAUUUAUCAUCCUGUUGGUCCUUCUGUCUGAAGCAGCUUCUAACCCAUAUGUGCUAACAGUGCACCCUGGAGAUGAUGUCACUCUGCCAUGUCAGGCUGCAGAUGUCCCCAUCAGCGUUGUAGAAUGGAGCAGACCUGACCUGGUGCCAGAGUACGUCCUCUUAAACAUCAAUGGACACCUGCAAACAAAGCAACAGAAUCCAUCCUUUAAGGACAGGGUGGAGCUGGUGGACAGAGAUCUGAAGGAUGGAGACGUGUCUUUAAUUCUGAAGAAUGUGAACAGCUACGACACUGCAAUAUUAUGUGUCGAGCUGCAUCACUUGGUUUAAGACGUAAAAAAAGAGCCUUCCUCGACUCUGAGCCAAUCAGAUUCAUCCGUCUGCAGGUUCCAGAGCCAGGACAUCCCAUAGAUGAAAACACAAUGAAUGAUGGAAACUUCCCUUGGGGUUACAUAG